rnacentral:rRNA from 1 species
UACGUAGGGGGCAAGCGUUGUCCGGAAUCAUUGGGCGUAAAGCGCGUGUAGGCGGCCAGAAAAGUCCGCUGUGAAAACUCGAGGCUCAACUUCGAGCUGUCGGUGGAAACUUUCUGGCUAGAGUCCGGAAGAGGAGAAUGGAAUUCCUGGGUGUAGCGGUGAAAUGCGCAGAUAUCAGGAAGAACACCCGUGGCGAAGGCGGUUCUCUGGGACGGUACUGGACGCUGAGACGCGAAAGCGUGGGGAGCGAACAGG